CGGGUUCUGCUCUGCGCGUGUCGGGCCCUUUUCCAGUGGCCGAUAAGCUUCUCCGAGGGGGCUGGCUCUGCCGGGAUCGUGGUCCCGGUAACCGGCGCCCACCUGGUAAUCCAGGCUCUCGGGAAAUUCACGCCUGCACGGCUGCUGCGGUUCCCGC
rnacentral:sRNA from 1 species